CCAGGUAAAGGAUCUCUUUACAGACUGUGUAUGUGCUGGAAUGCCAAACCAUGGAAACGGUAUGACUGGUAUCUCAUGUUGUAGUGCUACUAAUUCAGUAUAUGGAAACAAAGCGGUUUGGAUAAGCUACAACCAUUGUGUCUACACUGUGUUUUUCCUCAUCAUCAGGUAUGGACAUGCACUUGCUAUGGCUGGCGACAUAGCCUUUUUGUUUGGUGGAGCCACCUCAGUCAGUAAUGAGGAGACCAAUCCAACAUACCUGAGAGAUUUUCACAUGCUAACAGUCUCACUCACAUAUGUAACAUGGGAAGCUUUGCCCCAAAGCGGUGCAGUACCUUCAGCCAGGGAAGGACAUAG